CCUACGGGUGGCAGCAGUGAGGAAUAUUGGUCAAUGGACGAGAGUCUGAACCAGCCAAGUAGCGUGAAGGAUGACUGCCCUAUGGGUUGUAAACUUCUUUUAUAUGGGAAUAAAAUGUUCCACGUGUGGGAUUUUGUAUGUACCAGAUGAAUAAGGAUAGGCUAACUCCGUGCCAGCAGCCGCGGUAAUACGGAGGAUCCGAGCGUUAGCCGGAUUUAAUGGGUUUAUAGGGAGCGUAGGGGGUUUGUUAAGUCAGUUUUGAAAGGUUACGGCUAAACCUUAAAAUUGCAGUUGAAACUGGCAGUCGUGAGUACAGUAGAGGUGGGCGGAAUUCGUGGUGUAGCGGUGAAAUGCUUAGAUAUCACGAAGAACUCCGAUUGCGAAGGCAGCUCACUGGACUGCAACUGACACUGAGGCUCGAAAGUGUGGGUAUCAAACAGGAUUAGAUACCCUAGUAGUC
rnacentral:rRNA from 1 species